rnacentral:rRNA from 1 species
AGUCGAGCGGAUGAAGGGAGCUUGCUCCCUGAUUUAGCGGCGGACGGGUGAGUAAUGCCUAGGAAUCUGCCUGGUAGUGGGGGAUAACGUUCCGAAAGGAACGCUAAUACCGCAUACGUCCUACGGGAGAAAGCAGGGGACCUUCGGGCCUUGCGCUAUCAGAUGAGCCUAGGUCGGAUUAGCUAGUUGGUGAGGUAAUGGCUCACCAAGGCGACGAUCCGUAACUGGUCUGAGAGGAUGAUCAGUCACACUGGAACUGAGACACGGUCCAGACUCCUACGGGAGGCAGCAGUGGGGAAUAUUGGACAAUGGGCGAAAGCCUGAUCCAGCCAUGCCGCGUGUGUGAAGAAGGUCUUCGGAUUGUAAAGCACUUUAAGUUGGGAGGAAGGGCAGUAAGCUAAUACCUUGCUGUUUUGACGUUACCGACAGAAUAAGCACCGGCUAACUUCGUGCCAGCAGCCGCGGUAAUACGAAGGGUGCAAGCGUUAAUCGGAAUUACUGGGCGUAAAGCGCGCGUAGGUGGUUCGUUAAGUUGGAUGUGAAAGCCCCGGGCUCAACCUGGGAACUGCAUCCAAAACUGGCGAGCUAGAGUACGGUAGAGGGUGGUGGAAUUUCCUGUGUAGCGGUGAAAUGCGUAGAUAUAGGAAGGAACACCAGUGGCGAAGGCGACCACCUGGACUGAUACUGACACUGAGGUGCGAAAGCGUGGGGAGCAAACAGGAUUAGAUACCCUGGUAGUCCACGCCGUAAACGAUGUCAACUAGCCGUUGGGUUCCUUGAGAACUUAGUGGCGCAGCUAACGCAUUAAGUUGACCGCCUGGGGAGUACGGCCGCAAGGUUAAAACUCAAAUGAAUUGACGGGGGCCCGCACAAGCGGUGGAGCAUGUGGUUUAAUUCG